rnacentral:rRNA from 1 species
GACAGAGGGUGCAAACGUUGUUCGGAAUUACUGGGCGUAAAGCGUGUGUAGGCGGUUUGCUAAGUCGGGUGUGAAAGCCCCGGGCUCAACCCGGGAAGUGCACUCGAAACUGGCAGGCUAGAGUACUGGAGAGGUUGGUGGAAUUCUCGGUGUAGAGGUGAAAUUCGUAGAUAUCAGGAGGAACACCAGUGGCGAAGGCGGCUUCCUGGACACCAACUGACGCUGAGACGCGAAAGCGUGGGGAGCAAACAGG